CUCGGGGCGCAGCCUGUGGCCCGGGUCCAGUCGGGCCCCGCCGACCCCGCCCGCCUGGCCCGCCCUCCCCUGCCGGCCGCCGCUAACACCCGGAGGAGCGGACUCCCGGCGCGCGGAGAGCCAGGCCGGCGCGGGCAGCGGACUGGGCAUGCUCGGCAGCCCGGAGGCUCGCGGUGGCAAGUCGGAAGCGUUCGCACCAGCGAGGCAGCGGCCGGGCGGCGGCGGCGGCCGCGGGCAGGACGGAGCGGGCAGGGCGGCCAGGAGAGGCAGCCGUCCCUCCGCGCACGGCGAGCCGGCGGGAGAGCGCGAUCCCGCUGCGGAGCCCCGACGCUGCCCUGCCCCGGAUUUCAGUGCGCGGCGUGGGGCUCGGCGAGCGGAAUUCCGGCGGCGGCCGCGACUCCGGUGCAAGCAAAGCUCCAGUGACCAAAGAGCUAUAGAUCUUCUGAAUUUUGAGAGCAGUGAAAUAGGAGCAUAGCAGAGAGCGUAUGAAAGACAGCACGUUGGAAGGAAGAUUGAUGCAGACAAAAGCAACAUGAUUCAGGUAAAUGGGUUUUUAUUUUCUUUAUGUACCUUUUAUGCUUGGUUUAUAUUUCCCAUGUUUUCCCACUGAGAAGAACUAAAAAAAAAAAACCUCGAUUUUUGUGGCCAACUUGAAUAUAUAAAGAAUGUUUUGGGUAUAUAGAGGUAAUCGUCGAACGCCUACUUAGACCUUUUAAUUAAUUUAGUCACAUAUUGUAUAUUUAAUAGUCGUGUAUUUCUGUCAAACAAUAUUAUGACUCAUGCUGUUUCCUACCUCAGAGUAACUUUCUUCCCAGUCCUUACAUAUGUAUCUGAUGCCAGCGACUCUAUUAUUGGUCACAUUUUUGAAGCCCC
rnacentral:lncRNA from 1 species